rnacentral:rRNA from 1 species
GGCAGCAGUGGGGAAUCUUCGCAAUGGACGGAAGUCUGACGCAGCGACGCCGCGUGAGCGAAGAAGGCCUUCGGAUCGUAAAGCUCUGUUCUUGGGGACGAAUAAGAUGACGGUACCCAAGGAGAAAGCCCCGGCUAACUACGUGCCAGCAGCCGCGGUAACACGUAGGGGGCGAGCGUUGUCCGGAAUUACUGGGCGUAAAGGGCGUGUAGGCGGCCGAGCAAGUCAAGUGUGAAAAGCCCCGGCUUAACCGAGGCAUUGCACAUGAAACUGUUUGGCUUGAGUGCAGGAGAGGGAAGUGGAAUUCCUAGUGUAGCGGUGAAAUGCGUAGAUAUUAGGAGGAACACCAGUGGCGAAGGCGACUUCCUGGACUGUAACUGACGCUGAGGCGCGAAAGCGUGGGUAGCAAACAGGAUUAGAUACCCCGGUAGUCCACGCCGUAAACGAUGAGUACUAGGUGU